CGACCGUUAUCCGUGAUUAUGAAGAGAAUCAGUUAUCUUUACCAGGGCUGAUUAGCUGCACUUACUGAACCAGACAGAAGCACCUUCAGCAGACGCAAGCUGGCGACCGAGCAGGAAAGGAAUGCAAGAAGGAGGAGGAAGAGGAGUAUGAGGUGGAGAAGGUUUUGGACCGCAGAGUGGUGAGGGAAGAGUAGAGUUUCUGCUGAAAUGGAAGGGGUUCUCAGAUGAAGAUAACACAUGGGAGCCGCAAGACAACCUGGACCUGGACCUUAUCGCCGAGUACAUGCAGAAACACAAGGAGACGGAGGAGAAGAAGGAGGAGGGCAAGAGGAAAGGUGUCAGGGAGGAGGAGGCACUUCAGAAGAUGGCAAGCUGGCGACGGAGCAGGAAAGAAGGGCAAGAAAGAGGAGGAGGAGUCUGCAGCAGUGAAAGAGAAGGGAGGAUGAGGCUGCAGCAGUGAAAGAGGAAGAGGAGUAUGUGGUGGAGAAGGUUUGGACCGCAGAGUGGUGAAGGGAAGAGUAGAGUUUCUGCUGAAAUGGAAGGGGUUCUCAGAUGAGGAUACACAAUGGGAGCCACAAGACAACCUGGACCUUGACCUUAUCACCGAGUACCUGC